GGUCAAGUUAUUAAGGGUGCAGGGCGGAUGCCUUGGCACUAGGAGCCGAUGAAGGACGUGAUAAGCUGCGAUAAGCUUCGGGGAGUUGCACGUAAACUUUGAUCCGAAGAUUUCCGAAUGAGGAAACUCACUUAGAGUAAUGUCUAAGUAUCAUUAAGUGAAUACAUAGCUUAAUGAGGGGAACUCAGGGAACUGAAACAUCUAAGUACCUGAAGGAAGAGAAAGAAAUUCGAUUCCGUAAGUAGCGGCGAGCGAACGCGGAUUAGCCCAAACCAAUAAAGUUUUCUUUAUUGGGGUUGCGGACAUAUCAUAACGAAGAGGUAUCGUAAUUGAAGAGGUUUGGAAAGACCCACCACAGAAGGUAAUAGUCCUGUAUGUUAAACGAGAAGACUUUAGAUAUGAUCCAGAGUACCACGGGACACGU
rnacentral:rRNA from 1 species